AGCUCCAAUAGCGUAUAUUAAAGUUGUUGCAGUUAAAAAGCUCGUAGUUGCGUUUCUGUUGGGAGGGAUCGUUCCAUGCCUCUGGCUUGGAUUCGUAUCGUCUCCUGACAUCCUUGGGUGGAGCCAUUCUGGCAUUAAGUUGUCGGGGUGGGGAUGCCCAUCAUUUACUGUGAAAAAAUUAGAGUGUUCAAAGCAGGCUUAUGCCGUUGAAUAUAUUAGCAUGGGAUAAUAAGAUAGGACUUUGGUACUAUUUUGUUGGUUUGCGCACCAGAGUAAUGACGAAUAGGGACAGUUGGGGGUAUUCGUAUUCAGUUGUCAGAGGUGAAAUUCUUAGAUUUACGGAAGACGAACUACUGCGAAAGCAUUUACCAAGGAUGUUUUCA
rnacentral:rRNA from 1 species